rnacentral:misc_RNA from 1 species
AACGCACGAGACCUGCGGACCUGCGGAAGGAUCAUUAUAGAGUGGUAAACCUCCCGUAAAAGGGGGGGACCUCCUGUCCUUUGUAGGCUCUUUUUUAAAAGGGCUUUUUUUAAUUUUCUGCUUCGGUGGGGUUAUCCCACCGGAACAACCUCAAAACUCUCAUCACAAAAUCGUUCUGUCUGAGAACCUUUUAUAAUAAAAAAAAACUUUCAACAACGGAUCUCUAGAUCGGAAGAGCAC